GAACGCUGGCGGCAUGCCUUACACAUGCAAGUCGAACGGUAACAGGUUAAGCUGACGAGUGGCGAACGGGUGAGUAAUAUAUCGGAACGUGCCCAGUCGUGGGGGAUAACGCAGCGAAAGCUGUGCUAAUACCGCAUACGAUCCAUGGAUGAAAGCGGGGGAUCGCAAGACCUCGCGCGAUUGGAGCGGCCGAUAUCAGAUUAGCUAGUUGGUGGGGUAAAAGCCCACCAAGGCGACGAUCUGUAGCUGGUCUGAGAGGACGACCAGCCACACUGGAACUGAGACACGGUCCAGACUCCUACGGGAGGCAGCAGUGGGGAAUUUUGGACAAUGGGCGCAAGCCUGAUCCAGCAAUGCCGCGUGCAGGAUGAAGGC
rnacentral:rRNA from 1 species